UGUGCCGCAAGGCGGACUUAUGCUGUACCCACAGCGUAGCAGCUAGAACCUGCAUCGGACUUCUAACGAAGGAGAAAACAAAUG
rnacentral:ncRNA from 1 species